rnacentral:rRNA from 1 species
AGUGAACGCUGGCGGUAGGCCUAACACAUGCAAGUCGAACGGCAGCACAGUAAGAGCUUGCUCUUACGGGUGGCGAGUGGCGGACGGGUGAGGAAUACAUCGGAAUCUACUUUUUCGUGGGGGAUAACGUAGGGAAACUUACGCUAAUACCGCAUACGACCUACGGGUGAAAGCAGGGGAUCUUCGGACCUUGCGCGAUUGAAUGAGCCGAUGUCGGAUUAGCUAGUUGGCGGGGUAAAGGCCCACCAAGGCGACGAUCCGUAGCUGGUCUGAGAGGAUGAUCAGACACACUGGAACUGAGACACGGUCCAGACUCCUACGGGAGGCAGCAGUGGGGAAUAUUGGACAAUGUGCGCAAGCCUGAUACAGCCAUACCGCGUGGGUGAAGAAGGACUUCGGGUUGUAAAGCCCUUUUGUUGGGAAAGAAAAGAAGCAGGUUAAUACCCCGCUGUUAUGACGGUACCCAAAGAAUAAGCACCGGCUAACUUCGUG